rnacentral:sRNA from 1 species
GCUGGGCGUGGUGGCGGAUGCCUGUAAUCCCGGAUGCUUGGGAGGCUGAGGCAGGAGAAUUGUUUGAACCCAGGAGACGUAGGUUGCAGUGAGCCAAGAUCACGCCACUGCACUCCAACCUGGGUGACAGAGCAAGACUCUGUCUCAA